CGUGUAGGCGGCCCGGUAAGUCCGCUGUGAAAGUCGGGGGCUCAACCCUCGAAUGCCGGUGGAUACUGUCGGGCUAGAGUACGGAAGAGGCGAGUGGAAUUCCUGGUGUAGCGGCGAAAUGCGCAGAUAUCAGGAGGAACACCAAUUGCGAAGGCAGCUCGCUGGGACGUUACUGACGCUGAGACGCGAAAGCGUGGGGAGCAAACA
rnacentral:rRNA from 1 species